GCUCUCAUCGUCUAGUGGUCAGGACGCAUGGUUCUCAACCAUGCAACCCCGGUUCGACUCCGGUUGAGAGCG
rnacentral:tRNA from 1 species